rnacentral:rRNA from 1 species
GACAGAGGGUGCAAGCGUUGUUCGGAAUUAUUGGGCGUAAAGCGCGCGUAGGCGGUCUGUUAAGUCGAAUGUGAAAGCCCAGGGCUCAACCCUGGAAGUGCAUCCGAAACUGGCAGGCUGGAGUCCCGGAGAGGGUGGUGGAAUUCCUGGUGUAGAGGUGAAAUUCGUAGAUAUCAGGAGGAACACCGGUGGCGAAGGCGACCACCUGGACGGGUACUGACGCUGAGGUGCGAAAGCGUGGGGAGCAAACAGG